GAGAGAAGCUCGCAGCAAUGAAGACUGCUAAUCUUCACCCCUUUGGUUAAACCCCAAAGUUCACUCG
rnacentral:tRNA from 1 species